rnacentral:rRNA from 1 species
GUGGGGAAUCUUGCGCAAUGGGCGAAAGCCUGACGCAGCCAUGCCGCGUGAAUGAUGAAGGUCUUAGGAUUGUAAAAUUCUUUCACCGGGGACGAUAAUGACGGUACCCGGAGAAGAAGCCCCGGCUAACUUCGUGCCAGCAGCCGCGGUAAUACGAAGGGGGCUAGCGUUGCUCGGAAUUACUGGGCGUAAAGGGCGCGUAGGCGGAUCGUUAAGUCAGGGGUGAAAUCCCAGAGCUCAACUCUGGAACUGCCCUUGAUACUGGCUGUCUUGAGUUUGGGAGAGGUGAGUGGAACUCCGAGUGUAGAGGUGAAAUUCGUAGAUAUUCGGAAGAACACCAGUGGCGAAGGCGACUCACUGGCCCAAUACUGACGCUGAGGCGCGAAAGCGUGGGGAGCAAACAGGAUUAGAAACCCUUGUAGUCC